UACGGGGGGGGCAAGCGUUGUUCGGAAUUACUGGGCGUAAAGGGCGCGUAGGCGGUUCGAUAAGUCAGCUGUGAAAACCAUGGGCUUAACUCAUGGCCUGCAGUUAAGACUGUCGGGCUGGAGUGUGGGAGAGGAGAGUGGAAUUCCUGGUGUAGCGGUGAAAUGCGUAGAUAUCAGGAGGAACACCGGUGGCGAAGGCGGCUCUCUGGACCACAACUGACGCUGAGGCGCGAAAGCUAGGGGAGCAAACAGG
rnacentral:rRNA from 1 species